rnacentral:rRNA from 1 species
GUUACCAACGAGAAUCGUUUUCACGCUCCCUUCACGGAGAAUGAGCGGGGUUCGUAGAGGUGUUGAAAGGGAUUGUUUCGACAGUCAGCCUCUAUCUACUAUUUUUGUAUGACAGAAAUGUUUGCAAAGACGCUGUAUCUUUUGUGGAGAUUAAUCUCGCCAGAGCUCCCCUUUCAUUGAGAGCUGGUCGGGAACUAUAUUAACUUAUUUCACCUUUUUGCUAGUUGACUUUUAUAUGUUGGGCACUGUGCAUUGCAUUUUGUUCACACGUUUAUUAUUUGAACGUUAAAAUUACAACUCUUAGCAAUGGAUAUCUUGGUUCUCGCAACGAUGAAGAACGCAGCGAAAUGCGAUACGUAAUGCGAAUUGCAGAAUUCAGUGAAUCAUCAAAUCUUUGAACGCAAAUUGCGCUUCUGGGUAGCCCUAGGAGCACGCCUCUCUCAGUAUCGGUUCAACCAUCUCUCAGCAGCGUGUUUGCAUUAAGUUUCGGCUUUGUGUAAAUUCGUGUUGGCUGGAUAAUGAGAGUCUGUGUGCUUGCAUGCAGUCUCUUUAAAUACAUGGAGUGAACAUUAACUUUCGAACCUGCUAUUUUUAUAGCUAGUCAGUCUCCGACUGUUGUUUGAUAGUGACGUGAAUAUUGGCCUUCGUGGUCUUCUUUUUACGUGUAUCUAUUGAAUGACAUCUAGUUGGUCCUUGAUGAA